UAAGCGGAGGAAAAGAAACUAACAAGGAUUCCCCUAGUAACUGCGAGUGAAGCGGGAAAAGCUCAAAUUUAAAAUCUGGCGGCUUUGGUCGUCCGAGUUGUAUUCUAGAGAAGCGUUUUCCGCGCUGGACCGUGUACAAGUCUCUUGGAACAGAGCGUCAUAGAGGGUGAGAAUCCCGUCUUUGACACGGACUACCAGUGCUUUGUGAUGCGCUCUCAAAGAGUCGAGUUGUUUGGGAAUGCAGCUCAAAAUGGGUGGUAAAUUCCAUCUAAAGCUAAAUAUUGGCGAGAGACCGAUAGCGAACAAGUACCGUGAGGGAAAGAUGAAAAGCACUUUGGAAAGAGAGUUAAACAGUACGUGAAAUUGCUGAAAGGGAAACGCUUGAAGUCAGUCGCGUUGGUUAGAACUCAACCAGGCUUGCUUGGUGCAUUUUCUAUUCAACGGGCCAGCAUCAGUUUUGACUGUAGGAAAAAGAUCAGAGAAAUGUGGCACCUUCGGGUGUGUUAUAGUCUUUGGUUGCAUACUAUGGUUGGGACUGAGGAUCUCAGCACGCAUCUGUUGUGCUUAGGAUGCUGGCGUAAUGGCUUUAAACGACCCGUCUUGAAACACGGACCAAGGAGUCUAACAAACCUGCGAGUGUUUGGGUGGUAAACCCGAGCGCGUAAUGAAAGUGAAAGUUGGGAUCUCUGUCGCGGAGAGCACCGACGCCCGGACCAGACCUUCUGUGACGGAUCUGCGGUAGAGCAUGUUUGUUGGGACCCGAAAGAUGGUGAACUAUGCCUGAAUAGGGUGAAGCCAGAGGAAACUCUGGUGGAGGCUCGUAGCGAUUCUGACGUGCAAAUCGAUCGUCAAAUUUGGGUAUAGGGGCGAAAGACUAAUCGAACCAUCUAGUAGCUGGUC
rnacentral:rRNA from 1 species